CUGUGGUUGUCACUGGGAUUUUGGGCUGCUGUGAAAACUCCCACCUAGGAGCAAGUUUCCGGAAACUCAGAGCAGGACUUGAGUUGGUUACAUUUAGAAAUAGACUUGUUACAAGCUCAAGCUUGUCUGAGCUCCUUACUAGGGAGGGCCUGCUACAUGAAUAGCCUGUUUCUUCUUUCAGGUUGCAAGAAAAUAGGAAUACUUCUGAAAGGUUACUGGGGUUAAAGGACUACUUGCAUUUUUUCUUCAAGGCAAAAGAUUUAGGUGAUGUCAGUAUUGUUUUCCUUAGCAAUGUAAUGUUUUUCAAGCCUAAAUUAAAGAUGCUUCUGUCACCGAUUGCUAAGUCAGCAAAACAAGGUGGUCUUUUCCCUUUUCACUAGGGAAGACCGAAGAUGUCAGGAAGUGAGGCCCUUGUCGAAAAGCAGGUCAGGCCAGCAGAGAGCAGUAUAUUGUCAAGAACACCAUUUCCCCAGAGUCAGGUCAAAAUAGUACAGUAUUUAUUUCUCUUAGUUGAAAUAUCUUGCAUAUAUGUUCAUAAACAGUCCUGCAGUUAGGACUAGAGAUUACAAAGAAAUGGGAAUGUAAUGCUGAGUUGUUUUUUUUUUCCUUUUUUGUGUUCAUGGGAACAGUUCUCCAGCUGGGGACCUGGGAUGGAGUGUAGGUGGUUUAAAAAGUUUUAGAUUUGUCUCUGAGACUUUGUCACACGCAGUACUGUGGUCAUUCUUAGAAUUAAGCCAUAUGGUCUGAGAUUUGUAACAAAUUUUCAAUUAUGAUGUCUAUCUGUUAUACAUAUUAUUUAUAUGUGCACAUCUAGAUUCAUAGCUUGGUGUAUUAUAUAUAUGAUACAUGAGCUAGAAUGCAGGUCAUUGGGAAACAGUUUGGGAACCAUUUGGGAAAUUACCUCUGUCACUCCAGUGUUAUAAGAACAAUUGUGUUGGAUAUAUGAAUGAGAAUUAAUAAACAGGCAUCAAAUACAAAUUGCACAAAUAGGAGAAUCUGUAUAAUUAAAAGGCUAUUUCACCAAUUCGGUCAUGACUAUUAUGAACAGUAACAAGAUUAUGUGGUAGAUAGAAUACAAGGUCAUUAUUUUUGGCACAGCGUGCCCACAAACUGCACGUAAUCGGCAUGUUGUUUUGUGCAGGCCAGGUAGUAACAUAUGGUAAAUGACACUGACUGGUUCAUCUCCUCCCAUCCUCAGAGGCACAUGGGUGUUCAAUCAGCUGACAUGUACCCAGCAGUAGAGUUUGGGCUGCUGUAUGUGGACCCGAUUGCACAUGUGCAGUGUGGAAAACCUGCCCUCUGAGAGCUGCACAGUUAAUUAAAGCUCCUUAUGCAGGGCGUAUUUGCCUUGGUGCUCCCACCCCUUCCCUGCCUGGGGACUGGUUCUUCCAGGCAGCAGCGCAAGAGGAAUCUGUUCCCAGCUUGUGGCUGGUGCCACUGAAGCUGGCGCACGGGUGCUCCCACACCAGCUUUCCAACUGCUGUUGCUCUGCAUUUCAGUUCCCGGCUGUGUCCUGGGUCCCAGGCGCUCCCCAGCCACUUAACUAGUAAUGCUGUUAAUAAUACUGCAAGUUUAAGGUACAAAGAUCACCUCAGGUAACUCCCUGAGAUAUUACAUUGGACAAUUCUGGAGUUCCUCUGCUAACAGCAGAAUAGGAAGCCAGAAGUCCUGUUCCAUGGCAAACUGAGUUGGGAUUGUCUGAAGAAGAAAAAUAUUUGGAAAUAGUAAGGAAAAGUAACAGCAACUAUAGCUUAAAUUUCCAUCCAAGAUCCAUUUGCUCCCUUCAUCUCAAAGACCAAAUUAUAUUAGUGCUGACCUUUAGCAGAAAAGUGUGAUGGUCAUUGAACCCUGAACAUUAAAUUUGUUUCCUUGUUGCAAAUCACGCCCCUGUAGUGUUUGCCGUGGUGAUCUCCAGAUCCUCCCCAUAUCCCUGAGCAGGAUAGCUAGAUCUGCAUUCCUGCCACUUUUCUGAAACCCCACAUGGCACCUGCUGCUCUCUGAUGCCCUCCACUGUGGUUCUUCAUUCCUUCCCAAAAUUUCUAGCAAGGCAGGACUAGGCAUGUACUGUGGCUUCUCUAGAGCUGCAUCUGUGCCUAGUGCAGAGGGCCAUGGUCAAGCAUACUAGAGUGAUACUGAGCUGUCAUUUCCUUUCCUAUGGAGGAAGCCUAAAUAAAAUAUUUCUCCAUCUCCCCUCUGGAUACUCACCAGUUUUCGACAAACUCAUAGAAAUUAAACGCCUUUACACAUGUUUCUGGCGAUUUUGGCCAGUAGUAACUGAGUUCAAUAAUUUUGGAGGGGCGGUUCUGUGCUUGUAUCAAAGAGGAUGUCUCCCAGGGGGUGUCACUGGUGUUUUUGUUAGUGGUUGUGGCUGUAGUUGGACAAACCAGAAAAACUGAGCAGGUCUCUGCUGGUUCCUCACUGCUGCUCACAAGCCUUGUGCAGAAAUGAACUGUAACUUUGGAAAUGCUGCCUCAACGUGGUCUUUUUGGUGUCCUACAGGCUGAAGUUCUUCACAAAUUUAUCAUGACCUACAUAAUUGACCUAUAUUAUGUGUCUGUUUGUUAAAUAGAUUACACUAAUUAGAAACAUGAAUGGGGAUGGCUUAGCAGUUAUUUAUUUAUACUGAGGUGUGUGCCUGUUGUCUGAAAUGAUGUAUGGGAGGAUCAUUGCCAGACUUUCCCCCUCUGCCUCCUCCAUAUUUGGCAUGUACCAUGGAUUAUUGGAAUAAAACAUGAAUUGUUUCUGCUUUCAGAAAAAAGAAGUAAAAUUGUUUUUAUUACUCUUCUUCAAGGGGAUAUAUCUACCAGCAUGUCUGUAUGCAAGAAAAUUAAGCAUGAGGGAGAAAACAUAGCAAAAUUUGCAAGCCCUUGAUUUGUAGGGCAGUGAGUAGGGGCUGAGUGUGCUUUGCACUUUGGUCACUUUAUUGAGACCUUUCUGGCUGAGAAACAGCAUUACUACACCUUGCUGAUGUUUGAGCGUUCUAUAAUGAAAGGUUUUAUUUCUCCUUGCACUUGUGCCACACUUGCAGACUGUUGGAACUAUUUGAAAUCCCAGGUGCCAGUGAAAUGUGGUGAGUUUAAUGGAACUGCACCUGCUUCCAGCAAGUACAAAUUUUGCUUUUAAUGUUUUAAACUGACGUCCAAAGCCUGGCUGAUUUGCCUCUAGGGGCAGAUUUGGAUCAAGGCUUUAAAACAGAUGUCCCCUGCUACAGACCCUCUCAGUUGUAUUAACAGUGCUGUUGGGCGGUUUCCACUGCUGUGUCCUCAUUCGUAUAGAAGGGUGUGCAGAGUGUAAUCUAAUUAAGGAGAAUUCGCCAGAUUUUUUUUCAUGUCUGCUAUCAUUGUGUUGUUAACUUCUCCAAAUUCGUUAGAAAUGUAUCCAUCUGUGGGCUGUCACAUAGCACUGUGUUGAAUAUUAUCCGUAAUUCUUCCAAGAAGCUUGUUUUGGAGAAAAAAACAGGUGGGGAGGAUAAGUAAAGUGAAAACAAAUUGCUACCAUUUUUAACUGUUCACAAUUUCAGAAAUUGUUCCUUGUGUGUCAUGUUAGGGAUGCAUUUCCAGAGAGUCAAAAAUACAUAUUUUACCAGUAGGUUUGUGGGCAGAAUGUUUAUUCAAAUAUGUAUAUUUUUUGUUUGGUAAAGUGGUUGUCAAGUGGCAGAGGUUUGUCUGGCAGAAUAGACAGCCCAUGCCUUUAACAGGCUUUUGUCAUAAUCUUGGAAUCAAUUGUGAGUAUUCUGAGGGAGAAGAAAGUAAUUUCUCAUAUUAUUAUUCUGCUUCCUCUGUAGAAUAUUGAUCCCAGCCUUUUCUAUAGGGCUUUUAAAAGCUAUUACUGUCUGAUGUAUGACAUUAAGGUUAAAAAAACCAGCUUUUGGUAAAAAUGCUCUGAUUUAAAAAAAACUUUUUGAGCAUGAUAUUUGAAACCUAGGAUAAAUUAGCUUCAAACUGACCUCUUGAGGUUCCCGUGCUCAAACCAGGGCCAAAUUUGAAGUUUGAUUGAAUCGCUCAAAGUGUUGUCCAGCUGAGUGUUUAGUAUCUCCAAGGAUGGAGGCUCCUGGGGCCCUGUCCCAGGACUGAAGGUGAAAUGCGUUGCAUGAUACCUAGUAGGAAGUUGCCGACUUCCAAUUUGUGUCCACCACUUCUUGUGCUGUCACUGGGAUCUCUGGAAAAAGCCAGUCUCCAUCUUCUCUUCUUCAGGUAGCUGCAGAUAGCAAUAAGUUCUCCUCUUUGCCUCUCUGUCUCCAAGUUGAACAAAAAAGUGUUGAAUGGAGCGGUAGGGACUGUUCCCUCUCCUGCUGACUCUCCUUUUGCUAACUCAGCCCAGGGCAUGGUUGGCCUUCUUUCCUGCAAGAGGGUGCUGCUGAUCCUAGUCAGUUUGGCCCCCAGGGGCUUUUCCAUGGAGCUGUCCUGGGACAGGACUUAGCAUGUGCCUUUGCUAGACCCUGUCAGCCCACCUCUCCAGCCUGUCCAGGUCCCUCUGGAAAGCAGCACUGCCCUCCAGCUUGAGCCAGGGUACAUUGCAUCCUGUCUUUAGGUGGUUAAGAUGAUCUAGAUAGUAUCGACCCCUGAAAGAUGCUCUUAAUAUUCAGCUGCUAGUUAGACUGUGACUACAGGCAGUAGUUGUGUGAUUUCGGCAAUGAUUUGCCCCUUCACGUGAUUACUUGUUUUCACACUGUUUAUCUUCAUGAUGAAUUUUCUGUGUGAGUCUUAUGAUAUUUUCAAUGACUAUCAUAUAAAGCAUGUCAGAAGCAAUUUAAAGUUAUUACAAAGAACAGAAAACUUUCAGUGUCUGUCUUUUCUUAAUAUUGAUAAUAUUCUUUUGCUUGAUAUCUGUAGAAAUGGAAAUAGGGAAAUACAGCUGGCUGCCAAGCCCCUGCUAUGGUGUAACUCAAGAUGUCCACUUAUAAAAUUAAAUAUGGCCUGAAGAGUUACUAGCACCUGUUUCUUCAUUGUACAAAAAUGUGACUGGAAAGGUGAUGUUUUAACAGGUUAAAAUAUUUUGUUGCAUAUCUCUGUGAAUUUACAAAAGCUAUUUUUUGUUUCAGCUAACAAACUGAAAAUUUCAUCAGUUGUAGAAUAGUAUUUGAAAUGCCCUAAAGGGACCUAUUUCUGAAAUUUUCUUAGUAUUGUGUUUAGUGAAUAAUUGGGCCAUAAUUUCCAGGCAAUCUGUGUGUUGGGUCUCUGUGCAGAAAGCAGUUGCAAGGAAGCUUGCCCAGAGGAGUAGGCAAGUGUCCUGUAUGCAACCACGGAGCUGGUCUGAAGAGGGCUACUCAGCCCUGGAGAGAUAAUGAGAGCUUGGCUUACAGCAAAAUUUGUGAGAACAGGGAGGAAUCAGCAUUUACACAAAAUUUGUAAUCAAAGCCAGGCAUUGGAGAGAGUGGGGUGGGAAACAAGGUAACAGCCUUCAUCCUUGCUUAUGUGGGCUUGAGGGCUGAGUCUUCAGGAUCAAAGAGCAGAUAAGACCCAAAGCUUCACCUUUGCUUGUGAGGUUGUGUUCCUCUGACUAAUCUGGGAAGCUGAGAUAGUGAGGACCAGAACCACUGCUGGUCAGUGACUGGGAAGGGGAAGGAGCAGUGGCUAUGUGGCCUAAUGAGAAUGCAGGAGCUGGGACAAUAAAGGGAGAAGCCUUGGAGCUGUGUCCUGCUGACCUGGCUGCACCAGACUACUCCUGCCCCUCAAGUCCUUCUGUCUGGCCCAUCAGAGCUACCAGAGAAGCAAAGCAUAGGAAAACUGAGGACUUUCCCAGAGCCAGUAGAGGUUGCUUGUGUUAGGGACCAUGGAGCCAGAGCAGGAGACUGGCAGAAGUCUGCUCAAUAAACAUACCCACUGACCUGCAGUCAGCAGGGGAAGCCCUCCUUGAGGGCAGUUCAACUGUUUGAAGAGCACAGCAUCCCAGAGGGAUGGGGGAAUCAGGUGCUGUAUUUUCCCUUGUGUUCCUAGAGUAAAGAGAAAGAAAGAAAGGAGUUGACCUGGCACCAGCCGUUUGCCCACCUCCCAUGAAAACCACGUCACCUCUGACUUGUUCUCAUGAAUAACGGGAGUUUGCAUUUACCAAGUGAAGUGAUCAGCCCCUCCAGCCUGCUAUUCAUUUCUCCAAUUAACAAUCAGUUGCCUGAAAAAUGGGCCAAUCUGUUUCUUGGGGAGCUGCAUAGAAAAAUCCACAAGGCAAGCCAAUUAGCAUACCAGUCCUCACCGUCUAGGGAAUUUAAUUUAGUUAUUUGGUUGAUCUAAGUACUGAUAUUUUGUCGUUUUGUUAUGGAGCAUAUAAUGUUUGUUAAAUGGCUGAAAUCCCCCGAGGCCCAUAUGCUGCUGAUAGUCUCUGCGUCCUCCUGAGCCGGCAGAGGCAAUAAGGCAAAACUGUUUUGUCCUGCACAUGGCCCCAGUAUUUUCCUGGCACAGCACGGCAGCUGGACGCAGGCAGAACAAACCUUAGCCACCCAGGGUGGGCGGGAUAGCUUCCCUCCAAAAUAGUUGCACACUUGAGCAAGCCCAUUGUCUGUCCAGAAAGCAUUUCAACCGCCUCUUACCAGGCAGCCGCCACUACAAAAAGUACGCAGAGACAGUGUUUGGACAACCUGUCUGCACAGUGUAUUGUGUGGGGGCAAUUAGUUUGCAAAUUGCCCGUUUGCACAUCCACGCAUGAAUUAGUUACAUUGCUCCCCCAGGAUCUGUUUUUCUUAUAAUUACUGUUAAGGAAGGCCCAUGAAUAAAAAAGGUAAUUUGGACAAACACUUUUCUCCCCACAAGCAGGAAGUUUGAGCCUCUUCCUCGAGGAGACCAGGCAAUGGAUGGAGUCCCUAGGAGGAAAAGAGUGGUUCCCCAGGAUAUUGCCUCUGUGCGUUUCUAAUUCUCUGGGUUGAUGCUAGUGUAAUGGUGGCAUGAGUUGUGAAGGAAAAUAUAUGACAGCUGUCGUCUUGUACUGCCAUUCCUGGUGCACAUGCUCUGUGCUUGGAGAUGCGACCCCAAUCCUGUAACUGAACUGCUCUUUCAUUUCUGGAGAAAUCUCAUGUUGGGAUUUUAGCAGCCAAAGAAAUGCCAGAGCCUGACUGAUUUAAUGACAUUAGUUUUAUUGUGGUCUGAAUUUGCUGGAGCUGGUGGAGAGUCAUGUUGGAAGGAAAACAGUCUAACUGAAUGGACAAUCCUUCUCAGCAUUCACACCACCUUUAGUUCUCCAGUUCAAAAACCCAAACUGCAGAUCACUGCUGCCUAGUCAGCAGAAGGAGAAUAUAGAUUAGAUGUGCCAUGGUUGAGGAGCUGUGUCACUGCUAAGUGAAGAAGCUAUGGGAAGAAGUGAACGGGCUUCAUAGUAUUCAGGCGAAUGAGCAAGAGAGGGACUGAUUAUUUUCAGAGAUGCUACAGUCUCAAGACUUUUGAGAUCCUUGAACCUCUGUUGUAAUGGAGAAGCAGGUGGACUCAGAACCCUGCAGGGUAAUUACUCAAAGGACUGUUGCUCAACGGUCUAUUAAAGAUGAAGACUGGAAGUGGGUCACUGCACGUACCGGGAGGAAGAUUCCUCCUUCUUCUCAAAAUUUGACAGGUAUGAGUGGUACCUUCUGCAACAGGUAUGAGGCUCUGAAACUAGAGGGCCAGACAAGUGAGUAGGUGGGCAAAAGUACUUCUGGGAUAGUGGGGCCUCCUAAAACAACACUGCCUGUACCCCACAUCAAGAUCUCCUCUGCUAAGGGGAAAAGAAGGAUAGUUGUACUAGGAGAUUCCCUUCUAAGGGGAAUGGAGGGCCCAACAUGCAGACUGGACCCAACUCACAGGGAAGUCUGCUGUCUCCCAGGGGCUCAGAUAAGGGACAUUACUGAAAAAUCUCCUGUCUGGUAAAGCCCUUGGACUACUACUCACUAUUGGUUGUUCAAACUGGCAGCGACAAAAUAACAAAGAGAAGUCUGAGGGCAGUCAAAAAAGACUUCAGGGCCCUGGGAUGAUUGGUAGAGGAAUCAGGAGCACAGGCAGUGAUUUCCUUAGUUCUUCUGGUAAUGAGGAAGAGGAUUGAUAGGAAUAGGCAGAUCCAUCAGAUUAAUGAGUGGCUCUGAGGCUGGUGUAAUGGGAAAAAUUUGGGGGUUUUGACCAUGGGAUGAUCUACUCAACACCUGGCCUACUGACACCUGACAGAAUGCACCUAUCUCAGAGGGGAAAAGAGUUCUAGAACAGGAGCUAGCAGGGCUCAUUGACAGAGCUUUAAAACUAGCUUGGAAGGGAGGAAGGUACAAAACCAGGCUUGCCAAUGAUGAGGAUGGGAUGGCAUGCCAAAACUUGAGAAAACCAGCACUAAUGGGACCACUCAGUCUGCCUCAAGAGGUUUUGGCUAUAAUGUACCACACCUGAAAUGUUUCAACACCAGUUCCCGCAGCAUGAGAAACAAAUAAGAGGAGCUCCAAGCCUUGGCCCAGCCUCAGAGAUUUGACAUCACUGGCAUAAGUGAAAGUGGUGGGAUGAGUCCUGUAACUGGAGUGCCCUGUUGGAUGGUUACAGGCUCUUCAGAAGGGACAAGCAGGGCACAAGAGGUAGAGGGGUGGCACUAUAUGUAAUAGAAGGCUUAGAAUGUAUGGAGCUCACAGUUGGCAGUGGCACAGUUGAGAGACUCUGGGUGAGAACCAAGAGGCAAACAAAUGUUGUCAUGGGAGUCUGCUAUAGACCUCCCAGCCAGGACGAUGGUGCCAACAAUUAAUCUUUGAGGAACUAAGGGACACUUAGUCAACUGCCCUUGUCCUUAUGAGGGACUUCAAUUUGCCAGAAUUAACUGGGACCACCACACAGCUGGUACAACCUGGGACAGAAGACUCCUAGAAAACCUGGAUGACAACUUCAUGGAACAGGUCCUAAGGGAGCCAACUUGGAAAGGAGGGAGAGUGCCAGCAAAACCUCAACUCCAGACAUGAGGAGAACAGAAUUCAGGCUGCUUGGGGAAUUAGUAAGUAAGGUCCCCUGGAAAAAUGUUUCUGCAGAUGCUAUGGUCCCUCAGUGCUGGUCACUUUUUAAACAUCACCUCCUUAGGGCACAGGAACAGGCAAUUCCCAAAUGUCAGAAGUCAAGCAGGCGAGGCAGAAGGCCAGCUUGGCUUGAGCAUGGAUCUUCUCUUGGAAAUAAGGCAAAAAGGAAGGUGUAUCCCCAGUGGAAGCAAGGUCAAGUGACACGAGAGGAAUAUGGAGAUGCUGCUUUUCACUGUAUGGAGAAAGAUGUUGCAGACAAAGCUCAACUGGAGUUGAAGCUGGCCAGAAAAAUGUAGGGAACAACAAAGGAGUUUUUUCAAAUAUAUUAAGGGCAAGAGGCAGUAUAGAAAUAUCAUCGGCCUGUUACAGGAUGGGGAUGGUCACCUCACAAACAGGGACAGAGACAAGGCAGAGGUGUUUAACACUUCCUUUACCUCUGUCUUCAACACAGAUGAUGGACCAAGGAGGUCUCAGUGCUCUGAGCUGGAGGACCAUGACUGCAAUAAUGAUCAACUCCCAGUCAACCAUGAAAUUGCGUGGGAUCUGCUGCUCCAGCUGGAUCCCUACAAAACUAUGGGGUGUGAUGGGAUUCAUCCAAGAAUCCUCAAAGAGCUGUCUGAUAUCAUCGCGAAAGCUCUCUUGCAAAUCCAGAGAGGUCCCAGCUGACUGGAAGCUGGCAAACGUUGUCCUGAUUUUCAAGAAGGGCAAGAAGGAAGACCCUGGAAACUACAGGCCUGUCAGUCUCACUUCAGUGCCUGGUAAAGUUAUGGAGAAAAUUAUUCUGGGAGGUAUUUAAAAACACCUGAAAGACAAUGAAGUCAUUGGUCACAGCCAGCACAGCUUCGUGAGAGGAAAGUCCUGCUUAUCAAACCUGAUUUCCUUUUAUGACAAGGUAACCCACCUAGUUGAUCCAGGGAAGCCAGUAGACACCAUCUUUUUGGAUUUCAGUAAAGCUUUUGAUACUGUCUCUCGCAGUAUCCUUCUGGACAAAAUGUCCAGCCCACAGCUGGAUAAACACAUCAUGUGGUGGGUGAGCAAUUGGUUGAUGGGUCAAGCACAGAGGGUAAUAGUGAAUGGGGUAACAUCAGACUGGAGACCUGUGACUGGUGGGGUUCCACAGGGAUUCAUCUCGAGCCCUGUGCUCUUCAACAUCUUCAUAAAUUACUUGGACACAGGACUGGAAGGAAUCUUGUGCAAGUCUGCAGAUGACACAAAACUGGGAGGAGCUGUUGACUCCCUUGAAGGCAGGGAGGCCCUGCAGAGAGACUUGGGCAAAUUAGAGGACCGGGCAAUCACCAACCACAUGAAGUUCAACAAGGGGAAGUGCUGGAUUCUGCACCUGGGAUGGGGCAACCUGGGCUGUAUGUACAGACUGGGGAAUGAGUUGCUGGAAAGCAGUGCCUUGGAAAGGGACCUGGGGGUCCUGGUCGAUAGCAAGUUGAACAUGAGUCAGCAGUGCUUGGUAGCCGGGAGGGCCAACUGUGUCCGGGGGUCAUCAGGCAAAGCAUUGCCAGCUGGUCAAGGGAGGGGAUUGUCCUGCUCUGCUCUGCACUGGGGCAGCCUCACCUCGAAUAUAGAAAAGCAAGUUGUGGUCAGGUGAUGUGAAUGUUCUACAUGGACACUUGCUUUUCUUCUGGGAAAUCUCAGAGCCUGCUGUGCUAGAUGCUCUGUUGCACCUAUAUCUUUAACUUCAAGCAGUUCAUCAGGGUGAAGAAAGAAAACCUAAUGCUCUGAAAAUACCUUCAACAACUGUAAAGACUUUGAAAAAUACUUUUUUAACAAGAAUUUCCUCUUGCAUAGUGCAUGACUUUCAUUAACGUUUGUGUAUUUGCACUGUGUCAGCCACUUUGUUCCUGUCCAGCCUGGCUCUGGUGGCUUGUUCUCCGACAUGUAACUCUGCUCAGUUAACAUUGCUGCGCUCAUCAUUGCCUGUUUAUUACAAGAAAAAGACAUAAACAACCCAGAGGCAUUGCUGUGCAGAUAUAUGGUAUCUGAUUUUCUCAGGUCCUGUGAGCCUCCUCUGCUUGCAGCUUUCAGUGGCAAUUGGGUGGAGUGGGACACGUGAAGUCAUGUCAUGGGUCCAUGUAACUAGUCAGCAGCAAGGCAUUCCAGGUUACUUUGUGUUUUCCCAAACAGACAGUACCUUGCUGAGUGAGACCAGCAAGAGAUGACCAAGGCAGUAUGACUCCUGUGCUGCUUUUGCAGGAUUAUUUUUUUUUCACUAGACUAUUUGGAAGGCAAAAUGCAAGGACUCUUCCUUUCCAAUUACAGAAAUUUUGAGGGCAAAAGUUGUGUCUUUCCUAACCUUCUUCAGAAAUUCAACAUGUAUUUUCUUGCACACUUAUUAGGUGAGUUACCUAUGGUAAAUCCCCUUCUACAUCUCUGUCAGUUAGUUGCCAAUGGCCACACACAACAGCAAAAAAAAAAAAAAAAAAGAGAGAGAGAGAGAAAAGUAUCUCUCUGCCUCAUAUCUUUAUGUCCUAGUUUCUGAUAAUGUCUCUUCUGAGGGUGAAUAAUAUUACUGUACCUCAUGUACACAUGACACCAUGUAUGAACAGCCAAGUUUAUAGUUGGCACAGUUAGGAACAGCCCCUUUUUUUGGCUGCUGUAAAUAACUUCAGGGAAUCUAUGUUUAAAAAUGCGUCCCUUCUUUUUUAUCCAAAUUCAUCUUGCUUCUGAGAAAGAAUGUAUUCUAACCAUGGCAUUUUAUUCAACCUUUUCUUCAGCUAUUUUAGGCAUCAUCCCAGAGGAUCAGUCACCAUCUUUUCCAUGAAGAUGCAGACAAAAGGCUGUAGCAUUUUUGAAAGCAGUAAUGUAUUUCUGCAGGUGUUUAAAUUUGCUUGCACAUCUGACCUGACCCUGUGCUAUUUAGUGUUCAUGUAUUAAUCCUUUGCAAAUGUGAUGAAAACUCAGUUACUGAAUGUAAUGUUUCUUUGCAGCUCGGUGAUUAACUAAAUUCUGCUGGGCUGAGGAAAGGCUGGUGUUGAUAUGAGGAUUUAGCAGUUAAAUAGAUUGAAAACUGUUCAAUAUGGGCACCGCCAAUAUUGUAUAACACUCACUUCUAUUUAAACCAGAAUGAAAUAAAAUUCCUGUGGUAUUAGUAGCUGUAGUAUUGUUUUAGCUGUAAGUUAGCUGUAGUAUUAUUUUAUCAGCAUGCUUACAUUCUUUGAGCCAACUUACAAUCUAUGGAAAGGGAUCAUUUGUCUUUUCUGAAACCAUAAAAAGCAGGACUUCUCUGAUGCUGUGUUAGCUCUCUCAAAUUCUUUACACGUUGAGUCAUCUACUUUUCCUCCUUGGAAAGGUAGGGAGCUGGUAGUAACGUGCAGCUUUCACCAAAAGAUGUGACCACUGCUUCUCUCCUUGUUUGAAACUGCAGAAUUUUAUUGGCUAAAAGAAAAUUAUUCUGAACUGUGAAUCACAUCUUAACAAUUAGCAUGUUAUAGGAAAGCCAGCUAAUGAACAGGAGAUACACGCUCUUGGUAAACAUAGGGACUUCCUUCUUACUUUCUUUGACUCUGUUAGUCACAGUCUAUUUCAGAGCUGUCUUCAUAUUUCGGUAUCUGUCCUUGCGAAUUCCUGCCUGCUAGUUGGUAGCCAUUGGUGUGAUGAUUUCCUUGGAGCUACUGCAGUUUAAAGCAAUUAUGCAUGUGAUUGUAGAUCUCAUCCCAUUAAUGGUCCUAAGAUUUGAGGAGCUCAGGCUGUGUAUGGGGUAGAAGAGGACCAGGACACAGCUUUCCUGCUACAGACCACUGCUCUUUGAUCAUAACUGUGGUCCAAAUGCUUUGGGGAAUGGGUAACUGCUACAUUUUAUUAAAGACAUGCAACUGAAAUAAUAAUCGGAUAAAAGGAUCAUUUAUUGUCAAAUGAUUAUGGAGCUGCAUUAUGUGAUUUCAUAUCUUUUCCUUCAAAAUCUCUGCAUCUCAAACCAGCUUGUGGUUUUACUCUGUGCCAUUAACACUUUGGUAUUACACAGGAGUAUAUUUCAUAUGGCAAUUCAGUGGAAUAUGGAUUAUGUUAUCAGGAAAUAAAUAAAAUUUUCUCAAGUUG